UGAGUUCCUAUGUACUCUAUAAAUUAUUAGUUGGGAUAAAUAGAGUGAGUAAUGAAUUCAGAUUGACUUAAUUAAUAUCAUUUGGGAUUGGCCUUUUAUUAAUUGGGGCAUUUUGGUAACAUUAAUAAUGAGUUAAUUGCUCUAGUAGAACAAAUAUUAUGGUUAGUGAUAUUUGGGAUAUUUGUUUCUACUAUCAGAAUUAUUUCUAUCCACACAAUUU
rnacentral:lncRNA from 1 species